GCACCAGCUUGCUGGUGUGGAUGAGUAGGCGAACGGGUGAGUAAUACGUGAGUAACCUGCCCUUGACUCUGGGAUAAGCCCGGGAAACUGGGUCUAAUACUGGAUGCUACAUGUCACCGCAUGGUGGUGUGUGGAAAGGGUUUACUGGUCUUGGAUGGGCUCACGGCCUAUCAGCUUGUUGGUGAGGUAAUGGCUCACCAAGGCGACGACGGGUAGCCGGCCUGAGAGGGUGACCGGCCACACUGGGACUGAGACACGGCCCAGACUCCUACGGGAGGCAGCAGUGGGGAAUAUUGCACAAUGGGCGAAAGCCUGAUGCAGCGACGCCGCGUGAGGGAUGACGGCCUUCGGGUUGUAAACCUCUUUCAGCAGGGAAGAAGCCACAAGUGACGGUACCUGCAGAAGAAGCGCCGGCUAACUACGUGCCAGCAGCCGCGGUAAUACGUAGGGCGCAAGCGUUGUCCGGAAUUAUUGGGCGUAAAGAGCUCGUAGGCGGUUUGUCGCGUCUGCUGUGAAAGCCCGGGGCUUAACCCCGGGUGUGCAGUGGGUACGGGCAGACUAGAGUGCAGUAGGGGAGACUGGAAUUCCUGGUGUAGCGGUGGAAUGCGCAGAUAUCAGGAGGAACACCGAUGGCGAAGGCAGGUCUCUGGGCUGUUACUGACGCUGAGGAGCGAAAGCAUGGGGAGCGAAACAGGAUUAG
rnacentral:rRNA from 1 species